rnacentral:rRNA from 1 species
AAGGUUUCCAGGGUAAAGCUGAUCUGCCCUGGGUAAGUCGGGACCUAAGGCGAGGCCGAGAGGCGUAGUCGAUGGACAACAGGUAGAGAUUCCUGUACUUACGGUAUGAAUGAAGGAGUGACGGAGAAGGCUAGCGGAUCCUGCUGCUGGAAUAGCAGGUGCAAGCGAGGUAGCUGACAGCCAGGCAAAUCCGGCUGUCGAAAGGCGAAGACGUGAAGCGGAUGGAAAGCUGAGGCAAGUACAGAAGUCCGUGAAGCAGGCUUCCAAGAAAAGCUUCUAGUGUUAAUCAUACAGUAACCCGUACCGAAAAUGGACACACAUGGGUGAGGAGAGAAUCCUAAGGUGAGCGAGAGAACUAUAGCUAAGGAACUCUGCAAAAUGACUCCGUAACUUAGGGAUAAGGAGUGCUCAUAGAGAUAUGAGCCGCAGUGAAACGGCCCAAGCGACUGUUUACCAAAAACACAGCUCUAUGCUAAGUCGAAAGACGACGUAUAUGGGGUGACGCCUGCCCGGUGCUGGAAGGUUAAGAGGAUGUGUCAGCGAAAGCGAAGCAUUGAAUUGAAGCCCCAGUAAACGGCGGCCGUAACUAUAACGGUCCUAAGGUAGCGAAAUUCCUUGUCAGGUAAGUUCUGACCCGCACGAAAGGCGUAACGAUUUGGGCGCUGUCUCAGCUGUAGACUCGGUGAAGUCUUAGUACCUGUGAAGAUGCAGGUUACCCGCGACUAGACGGAAAGACCCCAUGGAGCUUUACUGCAGCUUGAUAUUGGACUUUGAUGCAAGAUGUACAGGAUAGGUAGGAGACUGAGAGACAUGCACGCCAGUGUGUGAGGAGUCGAUGUUGGGAUACUACUCUUCUUGUAUUGGAGUUCUAACCGGAUGCCAUGGAACUGGCAACGGGACAGUGUCAGGCGGGCAGUUUGACUGGGGCGGUCGCCUCCCAAAGAGUAACGGAGGCGCCCAAAGAUACCCUCAGCUUGGAUGGAAAUCAAGCGCAGAGUGCAAAGGCAUAAGGGUGUUUGACUGCGAGACCAACAAGUCGAGCAGGGACGAAAGUCGGGCUUAGUGAUCCGGCGGUGCUGAAUGGAAAGGCCGUCGCUCAACGGAUAAAAGCUACCCUGGGGAUAACAGGCUGAUCUCCCCCAA